CAAAAUGAGAGUUUGAUCCUGGCUCAGGACGAACGCUGGCGGCGUGCCUAAUACAUGCAAGUCGAGCGAGCAGAACCAGCAGAUUUACUUCGGUAAUGACGCUGGGGACGCGAGCGGCGGAUGGGUGAGUAACACGUGGGGAACCUGCCCCAUAGUCUAGGAUACCACUUGGAAACAGGUGCUAAUACCGGAUAAUAAAGCAGAUCGCAUGAUCAGCUUAUAAAAGGCGGCGUAAGCUGUCGCUAUGGGAUGGCCCCGCGGUGCAUUAGCUAGUUGGUAAGGUAACGGCUUACCAAGGCAAUGAUGCAUAGCCGAGUUGAGAGACUGAACGGCCACAUUGGGACUGAGACACGGCCCAAACUCCUACGGGAGGCAGCAGUAGGGAAUCUUCCACAAUGGACGCAAGUCUGAUGGAGCAACGCCGCGUGAGUGAAGAAGGUUUUCGGAUCGUAAAGCUCUGUUGUUGGUGAAGAAGGAUAGAGGUAGUAACUGGCCUUUAUUUGACGGUAAUCAACCAGAAAGUCACGGCUAACUACGUGCCAGCAGCCGCGGUAAUACGUAGGUGGCAAGCGUUGUCUGGAUUUAUUGGGCGUAAAGCGAGCGCAGGCGGAAGAAUAAGUCUGAUGUGAAAGCCCUCGGCUUAACCGAGGAAUUGCAUCGGAAACUGUUUUUCUUGAGUGCAGAAGAGGAGAGUGGAACUCCAUGUGUAGCGGUGGAAUGCGUAGAUAUAUGGAAGAACACCAGUGGCGAAGGCGGCUCUCUGGUCUGCAACUGACGCUGAGGCUCGAAAGCAUGGGUAGCGAACAGGAUUAGAUACCCUGGUAGUCCAUGCCGUAAACGAUGAGUGCUAAGUGUUGGGAGGUUUCCGCCUCUCAGUGCUGCAGCUAACGCAUUAAGCACUCCGCCUGGGGAGUACGACCGCAAGGUUGAAACUCAAAGGAAUUGACGGGGGCCCGCACAAGCGGUGGAGCAUGUGGUUUAAUUCGAAGCAACGCGAAGAACCUUACCAGGUCUUGACAUCUAGUGCCAUCCUAAGAGAUUAGGAGUUCCCUUCGGGGACGCUAAGACAGGUGGUGCAUGGCUGUCGUCAGCUCGUGUCGUGAGAUGUUGGGUUAAGUCCCGCAACGAGCGCAACCCUUAUUAUUAGUUGCCAGCAUUAAGUUGGGCACUCUAAUGAGACUGCCGGUGACAAACCGGAGGAAGGUGGGGAUGACGUCAAGUCAUCAUGCCCCUUAUGACCUGGGCUACACACGUGCUACAAUGGGCAGUACAACGAGAAGCGAGCCUGCGAAGGCAAGCGAAUCUCUGAAAGCUGUUCUCAGUUCGGACUGCAGUCUGCAACUCGACUGCACGAAGCUGGAAUCGCUAGUAAUCGCGGAUCAGAACGCCGCGGUGAAUACGUUCCCGGGCCUUGUACACACCGCCCGUCACACCAUGGAAGUCUGCAAUGCCCAAAGCCGGUGGCCUAACCUUCGGGAAGGAGCCGUCUAAGGCAGGGCAGAUGACUGGGGUGAAGUCGUAACAAGGUAGCCGUAGGAGAACCUGCGGCUGGAUCACCUCCUUUCUAAGGAA
rnacentral:rRNA from 1 species